CGGAGGGAUCAUUACUGAGUUACCGCUCUAUAACCCUUUGUGAACAUACCUAUAACCGUUGCUUCGGCGGGCGGCGCGGCCACUGCGGCCCGCCCCCCGGCCCCGCUCGUCGGGGCGCCCGCCGGAGGAUACCCAAACUCUGAUUUAACGACGUUUCUUCUGAGUGGCACAAGCAAAUAAUCAAAACUUUUAACAACGGAUCUCUUGGUUCUGGCAUCGAUGAAGAACGCAGCGAAAUGCGAUAAGUAAUGUGAAUUGCAGAAUUCAGUGAAUCAUCGAAUCUUUGAACGCACAUUGCGCCCGCCAGCAUUCUGGCGGGCAUGCCUGUUCGAGCGUCAUUUCAACCCUCAAGCUCUGCUUGGUGUUGGGGCCCUACGGUUGACGUAGGCCCUCAAAGGUAGUGGCGGACCCUCUCGGAGCCUCCUUUGCGUAGUAACUUUUGUCUCGCACUGGGAUCCGGAGGGGCUUCUGGCCGUAAAACCCCCAAUUUUUCCAAAGGUUGACCUCGGAUCAGGUAGGAAUACCCGCUGAACUUAAGCAUAUCAAUAAGCGGAGGAAAAGAAACCAACAGGGAUUGCCCCAGUAACGGCGAGUGAAGCGGCAACAGCUCAAAUUUGAAAUCUGGCCCUUUCGGGC
rnacentral:rRNA from 1 species